AUGCAAAUGACGAGUCCCAGAUAGAACGAGACGUACUUCCUGAAU
rnacentral:hammerhead_ribozyme from 1 species